GGCCUGGUGGUAUAGUGGUAACACACUCCCUGUAUUUGCUUACCCCCCACCUUGAGUACAAAGGAGACACCCUCGUUCGAUUCGGGGCCAGGCCA